rnacentral:tRNA from 1 species
CCCCUGGUGGUCUAGUGGUUAGGACACAAUGCUUUCACUGUCGGGGCCCGGGAUCAAUCCCUGGUCGGGGAA